AUUUGAAAGAUCAGGCAACUUCCCACCAAAUUGGUUUUGUAGCCGAUUAUUGACAGCUGGAGCAGAAGGACGAAACUGAGGCAGAUUAAAAUUCCCACCAAAUGGUGAUCCGUGUGGCAUCCCACCCAUCUGAAGCUGUGGAGAUAUGCCCGAAAACGAUGGUCCUGUCUGGGGUCCGGUGGGGUGAUACGGAGGGUUAAGAUAGCGUGAUUGAUGAUUUGGUGAAAAUUGGGGGGAUCCACCGCCACCAGGAGGAGGGUGUGAGAUAAAGGAUGAUUUAGGAACAGGAACCGGUUCACUAGAGAAAUGCAAAUCCUGACCAAGGUGGUGGUGUUGCUGUUGUUCAGGGUGUUGGUUAAGGUUGUGUUGCUGAUGUUGCUCAGGAUACGAUGA
rnacentral:lncRNA from 1 species